AGCUCCAAUAGCGUAUAUUAAAAUUGCUGCAGUUAAAGCGUCCGUAGUCGGAUUUCGUCUAUUCGGGAUGGAUGCAGUAGCUACUUGUAGCUCACUAGCGCUUUCCCUUUUAGGCUUGGGUGGAGCUUUGGGGCAACUCAUUGUUCCACCCUGUUACUUUGAGCAAAUUGGAGUGCUCCAACCAGGCUUUAGCUUGAACAGCUCAGCAUGGAAUAACGAGAUAGGACUUUGGUUCUUCUUGUUGGUGUCAUGAACCAAAAGUAAUGGUUGAUAAGGACAUACGGGGGCAUUUGUACUUGCUGGAGAGAGGUGAAAUUCUAAGACCCAGCAAAGACAAACAAGUGCGAAAGCAUUUGCCCAGUGUGUGCCUG
rnacentral:rRNA from 1 species